rnacentral:lncRNA from 10 species
GCGGCCGCGACCCCACCCGUGCGGCGCCUGGGUUGGUAGGGUGCUGGCACUUUGCAGGCGUUCCCCGGACGCCCGUGGGCGGGCUUUCCUGGUCUUUCCAGUUUAACCAGGCCGAAUUUUUGCCUGGGAGGUAGCCACUCCCGAGCAAACCUACCCAGUGAGAGGAAUAUAGGGGCAGGGACGGCUGCUCCUAGCAUCAGGACCUAAAAGAUGCACCUUGGGCCGGCCCUUUACUGACCCCACCGCCACCCUUCUCCUUCGUUUCCCGCGGUUCUCACAGCCUGGCUUAGAGAGGAUGUGGCAAGAAAGGAUCUUUCACUGAGCUACGUUCAGCCCUGCCGCCAGCUCAAGAAUUUCAGUGCUUUUUAUCCUUGAGCUUCUGCUUAUGCCCUUCCAUUAUCCUUAAAUGACUCCACGCUCUGUCUUCAAGCCAAGACCCUCCCCCUUGUCAAAAUUCUGCGCAGAACUCAAGCGCCCAUCGUGAUUGCCCUGUCUGAAGUCGCCUUAUCGGCCCCCCUCCCUCGAAGCCUGCCCCACUUAAGGGCUCAGGUGUCCUCAGGGGUAAAAACAUCUCCCUAGUAAUAAUCUUCGCGGGUGCGAGGCUCUGCCGCUAAGUGGCUUUGUGGUCCAGGGCAACGGUUACUCCUCGUCUGCAAAACUAAAAGGGAUGUGUCUGUUGUGCCAGCAUUAUGACAUAUAUUCUGUGGUAGGACGGGUUGGUUUUGUGUAUGUAUAGGAAACUAACUGCAGCUGUCACUUGUUAACUCCAAAGCUAUCCUUAGAACCCUCACAUUCCCAGCUCUGGAUAGCCACCCAGCUAGCGUGAGAGCCCUUCUCAAUCACUUAAUGCAUCUUUCUGUGUCAGCUAGCUAGUAUUUCUGCUUCAGCAGAGCAAAAUGACUUGCUAUACCAUGGUUGGCUAAUCACUUACCUUUGCACCAUUGCAUCUAAUGCUUCUGCCUGGAAAGAGUUUAUUAUUCCUCCAAUUCUCGUUGAUCUGUUUGCGGCCUGAUCACAAAGCUUGCAUUUUCCUUAAAAUACUGUUGCUGGAUGACCUCACCCUAACACUUCUUUCUGUACUCUCGUUUGGUGGUCUCCUUCAGUCUUCUAUUUUUAAAUACCAUCUAUAUGUUGAUGGCUCCCAAAUGUGUAUCAUUAGCUGAGCUCUCCUCAACUCCAUACUCAGAUAUCCACUGCCUACUUAUUAACAUCUUCACUUACAUGUCUCAUACGCAUCUUGAACUCAAAAUGUCCAAAACCAAGCCCCUGAUCUUCCUACCCAAACCUGUUUUUUUUACAAAAUCUAUAAAAGACAAAUUCAUUGUCUUAAAUUUUUUAGCCCCAAAACCUUUGUGUCAUCCCUGAUCCCUUAUCUAACUCAUAAGCAGAUUGAGUCAGGGCUGGCACAAGAGAUUCCUGGACUCCUACCAGUUCUCCCCACCUCCACUGCCACCACUUCAGUCCAAGGCAUCUGCAUCACUUAACUGAUGUUACCUGCAGUAGCCUCCUGGCUGGUCUCCCUGCUUCUGCCCUUGCCUCACCUCAAUUUAUUCUCUGACAUAGCAAAGUCAUCUUAAAUCAGAUUAUGUCACUACUUUGCUCAAAACCCUUCAGUGCUCCCUUUCUAGCUCGGAAUAAAAUCAAAAGUCCUUGUGAUGGUCUGUGACUAUUGAGCACUUGAGUAUGUCUAGUGCAACUGGGAACUGAAUUUUUA